UUGAAAGGGAAACGAUUGAAGUCAGUCGUACCAACGGAAAUCAAUUCAUAGAGCGGAAUGUUGGAUCUUGAAGAGUGUUAAAACCUUUGGGGUUCAGAUAUUUUCACUUUUUGGACGUAUUUUCUCGUACGGUAGGUUAACAUCGAUUUUGAGCAUCAUAAAAUGAUCGGAGGAAUGUAGCUUCGAUCUCGUAUUGAAGUAUUAUAGCCUUUGGUAGAUGUGAUGAUCAAGAUCGAGGAUUGCAACGAAUACCCUUUUGGGCUAUCCGUCUGAUCUCUGAUACGUUGCCUUGGUAACGAAAGCGUGCUUACGGUAUUGAGGUAUUACGGUCAAAAGGUUAGAACGUGAUUACAUUCGUUAAGGAUGUUGACGUA
rnacentral:rRNA from 1 species